AAUUUUUCAAGUAUGUAUUCAUUUUGACUAAUAAUACCUGUGAAUUUGCAGUUAUCCUCAAAAGGGUCUACUUGGGAUGAGAUAGACUUUGAGUUCUUGGGAAAUUUGAGUGGAGAUCCUUACCUUCUUCACCCCAAUGUUUUUAGCCAAGGCAAAGGAAACAGAGAGCAACAAUUCUAUUUAUGGUUCGACCCAACUGCUGAUUUCCACACCUAUUCCAUUCUUUGGAAUCCCCAACGCAUCAUGUAAGCAAGAAACUCCGUCGCAUCUUCAGCUUUGUUCUUUUUAACUUUAAUUCUAAUUUCUUUAUUAAUAAUAAACUCAUUAUCCUCUGUUUCAGCUUCUCCGUUGAUGGGACCCCAAUUAGAGAGUUCAAGAACUUGGAAUCCGCUGGAGUUCCAUUUCCAAAGAGUCAACCAAUGAGAAUGUACUCAAGUCUGUGGAAUGCAGAUGAUUGGGCCACAAGAGGUGGUCUUGUGAAGACAGAUUGGAGUCGAGCUCCCUUCACUGCUUCUUACAGAAACUUCAACGCCAAUGCUUGUAUUUGGUCUAAUGGAGCAUCUUCUUGCAAAUCUAAUUCACCUUCCGGUAGUAAUGUGUGGCUGUCACAAGAAUUAGACACAAACAGUCAAGAUAGGCUCCAGUGGGUACAAAAGAAUUACAUGAUCUAUAAUUACUGCACAGACACUAAAAGAUUUCCUCAAGGCAUCCCUCCAGAAUGCAGCAUGUCAUAGAAGGCUGAGAAGGACAUAACAUUCAAUACAAUUUUUGUUUUUCUUUUUCAACAUAUCUUGAUUCUUUUUCUUUACAUUCUUUUGUUCUAUGCAAUUAGAUAUGACAAAAUUCGUUCUAUGUAAAGCUGCUUUGAAUCUUGAUUAAUGCUAUUUGUUCAUUAUCUCCAUUGAGAUCUUCAUAUCCAGGUUGGAAUGAAGCAUAUAUGAGCAACUUAAGGACAAGAGAUUUGAAAUUCGAUAACAUGAGUCUAGCUUUUCUUCAAAUUGCAUAAUUCAGAAGUACAAGUAAAAAAUUAGGCAAGGUAGUGGCGAGAUCGCCCUCCAACUGAAAGCGAGAACUUUUGUCAAACAGCUGGUCUGCAGUUUGUUUGCAGUGUGCUCUGAAAAAUGUUAGUUUCUUUUUUGGUGUGUUCUGUUAACUAAAGACGCAUGCCGCUAAAUGGAAAUCAAUAUAGGAUGCAUAAUUUGCUCAAUUAAGAAAAUGAAUUUACAUACAGUUUUUGCACAAACAAAAGAUAAACCAAUCUGAACAGUAAUUUAAUGAAAUGUAGAGAGCCAUCAUAAUUUUCGCUUGAGAAAGUGCUAGUCUUAGGUCGUAUAUAGCUUUUAUGCUAUAUACUUAUAGCCAUCCAAUUCCAGUAAGAACAGAUCAUUUUUAUUAUACCCCCAACUUUACGGCUUAUUAUAAUUACACUCUAAAACCAACCCAACUGACAGACACUCCAGAAUCUGCAGUUCUUGCUGCACUUGGGUUGGCGGUGUUGCAUCUUCAAUCCCUUCUCUCUAGUCUAUGCUUCUCUCCUACCUUGGUUGUCCUCUGUCUUCCUCUCCCACCGCCUUUUGGCAUCUAGCAUCCAGGUCUGAGAGAGAGGGAUUUUGAGAUGAGAUCCAUGAAGGAGGGGUAGAGAAGGGAGAGAUGAAACGGUAAGGUUUCUUUUGUUCCUUUAAACAAAACUCACCGUUUCACUUAACUGGGAUGGUUAAGUGAACUCAACAAAGUCCAACGGGUCCCAGAAAUAAUAAUAUUAUAACGUCUAAUUUUGACCAAAACCAAAAUGGGGCACAAUUUUGACAAAAAUAUAAAAAUAAGGUGCCUUAAAGUUGGUUUUGGGGUGUAAUCUGUGACGAAGUGUAAAAUGGAGGGUACAAAUGAUGGUUUACCCAAGAAUAGACCGAGUGCCAUCCAAUUCCCUUGGGAUAGCUUCAGUCAAAACCUAGUACUUUAAUCUUAAGACUAAAACCCACAAGGUAUUAGGAUUUUUAAGUAAAUGCCAACCAAUCUUUAUAAAAAAAAAAAAAAAAAAAUGAAGAUGUUUUUGCAAUGGAGAUGGAGAGAAGGAUGCUUAAUUUCUUAUUGCUUACCAAAAACAACAGUACAUAACAAUAUAUGUAUAUUUGGGGCAAGGACUACUUAGUACAGGAAACUAAGAUGAACAUUUGAAAUUUGACUUAACCCCAAAAUUAAUACUUCUUCUGUUUUAUUUUGUUUGCUUGUUAUUCUUUUUUGAAAAUGUCCAAAAAUAUUUACAAGGUUUCUAAAAGCAUUUAGUACGUUAUUGCGUGUAGGUGGUUAGGGAUAUAAGGUCUUGGAUAAAAUUGAUCAGCAUCUUCCCUCAAAAUAUUAGAUAUUAUCGUUGAUUUAUCAUCAAACUCAAGUGCCCCUUGGGUUCACCCUUCGCUAUGGUUUUAUAUACUUAGACAAUUAUUUUUUUCCAUUGUAACAUAUAUGAUUGUUCAUUAAUGAAUGAUUUUUACUAAUAUCUUAAUGAGUGAAGAGUAAAAUGAUUUUUAUUGAUUAAAUUUUUAAUAUGCGUGUUUUUUGAAACCAUGCAAAUAAAAUAGGAUGGAAAAAGUACAUCAUUAAAUUUAAACCGUAUACUUUUUUUUUUUAUUUUAACCACAAGGAUCCCCGUCCAGGAAAGGACCGAGGGGCUAUGCCCCUGCAAAUUAAAAAGUUUUUAAAAUUUUUAGUGUGAAAUGUUUGGAAAAAAAUAUAUUUGAAUUUUGCUCCCUAUAAUUAGUAAAAAAUUUUUUGGUCCCCCUAACUAUUUGGGCUGAUUUUGUCAUUGUUCCGAACCCACUGGAUUAAAACUAAAUCCUACUUGCACCGAAUCGGCCCACUACAGCGAGUAUUUACUUCAUCCAUGAGAAUUAAACCUUUCGAUCUCAAUUAAGAGAGAAGAAUGCCGAACCACUCAUCCCAACGUUUAUUUGUGAUAAACCAUAUACUUUAUGCCAAGCAAAAAUAUCAACACAUAUUCCAAAACUUAGACCAUCGUACAUAAUUUAUUUUUUGCAAAGUUCAUUUGUGAAUGAUGGACUGGUUGAGCAUGAUUUUUUUUUUUUUUUCUAAUGGAAAAAUUCUCUUGUUUUAUCUUUUGGAAGAACCAAAUGGAGAUUAUUGAGGUUCGUAGAAUACAUAUUUGACAAAGCACACAGAGAAUGACCUUUUUUGCAGUACAAACAAUUUUUUUUUUCCCUUUCAUUUUCAUUGCAUAUCAGCUGAGGAAUUUUAAGAAAAAGCAGAUAAGGAGAUUUCUGAACCAACUUGGCAAUUGGCAUGACUUAUUAGUGCAUGCUUCACAAAUAUGCUGACAAUAUUUUAAUUACUUUGACAGUAAAGGAGUUUAAAAAAAAAAAAAAAAGCAAACAAGCAAAUUGUUUUUCUUUUUUUUUUUUUUUUAAAUGGUAAUCCAUUAACAAUCUUAUGUUGAGAAAUGAUCUUAAUAGAAUAAAUUAUUCUUUAUUCUUUGAGUUGUAAUUGUUUUUUUUUUUUUUAAUUUAGAGAUCAGGUUAGGCAUCAAAUUGAAAACAAUUUAAAUUGUUAAGAGAAUAUUUUGGGUUACACAGCUGAGAUAGUCCUUUUCUUUAUCGAGAGAUGUUGAAUAUGUACUUGAUAGUGGGUCAGUUUGGUUCGGUUUAAAUAUAAUAAUCAAACCAAACUUAAAGUGGUGGUUUGAAAAAAAUUAAAAUCAAAAUCAAAUCAUGAAAAAUUUCAAACCAAACCUAAUCUUCGGCGACAGUUUGAUUUGAUUUGGUUUGGUUUGACAGUUUGAAAUAAGAGAAAUUAAACUUCCUUGUUCAUCUAGUUAAUAAAUAUAUAUAUAAAAAAAAAGAUUAACAUUAUUCUAAAUAUGAAAAAUGAAUUGAUAAAAACUAUGCCAUAAAAUACACAUGAUUUUGAAUAGCUAUUAUGAGUUUUUAAAUUUAUAUAUAUACUUUGUAUAGUAUAAAAAAUAUUAUUUAUUUAGAAAGAUAAUAAUUAAGCAAUUUAUAAAUAUAGAAUUUAAAUUUGAUUUAAUUAUAUCUAUUACUAGAAAUUAUAAAAAAAUUAUAAUUUUACUCACAUAUAGUUUAUAUAUAUAUACAUGAAUGUUUAACAUUUGAAUAUUUUAUAAAAUAAUUAUACAACUUAUCUAAUCAACAAGAAAUUAUUAUUCAAUUAUUAUCCAAUAUAACAAAUCUCAUAAUUUACUAUCCAAUAUAAAGUAAUUAAUACAACAGAAAUUUUCAUUAAAAAAAUUGAAUUGUAUUGAAAAAUUCAAAAUACAUAUAUAUAAUUAUACAUGGAUGUUUCAUUUGGUUUGGGUGGUUUGAUUCCAAAAACAUAAACCAAACCAAAAGCUCGGUUUGGAUGGUUGUGACUGUAAAAUCAUAAACCAAACCAAAAGCUAGGUUUUUAAAUUUUAUAAAAUCAAAUUAAACCAUCAAUCUUUUAAUUAAAACCGCAGUUUUAAUUCGAUUUGAAUCGAUUUGGACGGUUUAGGCAGUUUGAUGAACACUCUUACGUAUGGUUGUCAGAAAAUACUUGUAAAUAAUCGGCAUGAUGGGUUCCAUAUUAUGUAUAAACAAGUCAGACCCAAAUGUUACAUGUGGCCUUAAUAUAAUUUGAGCUUUUGGUGCUUUUCACCAUAAUAUAUACUAUUUUUGUAAUUUCUGAUUCUUUUCACAUCUCUAAAGAUUUCACAUAUAAAUUUAAUAUACAAAAUUAAAGGUGGAUUUGGACGGAAAAGAGUAAAGAAAUGCAUCACUCGUGAUGCAUAAAGCUUUUGAUCAGUGGAGAUUUAUUUUAAUGACACCCCAUAAUACAUAAAGCUUCAUGAACCAGUAAAAGAAGAGAGCGAGUUGAAUAGAUGCUGAUUUUUCUGAUAGAAAGCUAAUAAAAAAACGUUUUCUUUUUUAAAAAUAUUAUUAUUUUUUCGGUGUAUAAUUAAAUAUAUUCUGGUUUGUAAUUAAUUUGGUAUAUAAAUGGGCUCAUAUCCCAUGUAAGUAAAUUUUUUUAUUAAAAUUACGGAUUCAAUGUAUAAAAAUUGAAAAUAAUGGAUAAGCAAAAAUUAAAAGAAGAUAAAAUAGCAAAUCUUUUUUUUUUUUUAUUUAGAACUAACAGGUGUAAUCCCUCUUCGGCCAUUUAAGUGUAUUUUAGAAGAAUCUAACUUAUUUUAUUGACUGAAUUACCCUUUAGUCAAUACUCAAUUAAUUGAAACUUUGGUGUAGAUAUCUAAACAAGUAAAAUUGAAAUAAAUAAUUAAAUGAUAUUUUAAUUUUCAAAAAGUGUCAUCUAAAUGGUAUAAAAAAUAAAAAAAAAACUGUCAAAUUUAACGAAACAGAUAAUGCUAACAAAAGAAAGUGACAACUACAAACGCAAAAUGAAAAUUUUGUGAGGUUGAUUAACAUCUUUAUAUCAAGAUUAUGCAGUUUAUCAAAAAUACUUAUCGCAUUUGGGUAUUUAAUUUCUCUUAAAAAAAUUAUUUAAUUUUUCUAAAUUAUAAUAAAUUAUUAAAUGGAUUGAUGAAAUACUUUUAAUUUAAUAUUUGAGUUGAAACCAUUCAACUACUUGUGUACAAAUAAUAAAAAAAGAAAAAAGUUUAUUAUUUAUUAAAUCCACGUAUCUGACAACUAUGCAUUUGGUUUUUGCACGGAUCCUUACAAAAUGAAAGAUACUAAUGCAAGAAUCGAAAGCAUCAACCAGGUGACAGCCACACGCCAACCCUGCAUUGCAUUAAUGCGAAACCGCGUCUCGUGUCGCUUAAUGUCUUUUUGGUGCGCUAUAUUUUAUUCACAGUACAACUGUCCAGCUGAUGACUAUACUGAACCUUCCCAUGCCUUUUCCUUUUCAAAUUCAAAUGGGUAUAAAUACCAUCAUCGUCUCAUCUUAUCUCCACACUUGUAACAUACCAGUUCUUUCUUUUACUCUAUACAUUGUAUACGCAGUUUCUUGCUAUCCCUUAUUUCAACAUCAAGAAAAAUUUAUCAUGGCUUCACAUAGUUCUUUAAUGCUGCUAUUGCUUCUUGGCAUCUUCUCUUCCAUGGCAGCUGCAAAUUUUUACCAAAAUUUUGACAUUACAUGGGGAGAUGGCCGAGCUAAGAUUCUCAACAAUGGAGACCUUCUUACGCUUAAACUUGACCAAGCUUCUGGUUCUGGAUUUCAAUCCAAAAAUGAGUAUUUGUUUGGACAAAUUGACAUGCAACUCAAGCUUGUCCCUGGCAACUCCGCUGGCACCGUUACUGCCUAUUAUGUAACUAUUUCUUUCUCUCUUCUUUUUUUUUUUUUUUUUUUUUUUUGCUGUAAAUUUUUAAGUAUAUAUGUAUUCAUUCUGACUAAUAAUACUUGUGAAUUUGCAGUUAUCGUCAAAAGGGUCUACUUGGGAUGAGAUAGACUUCGAGUUCUUGGGAAAUUUGAGUGGAGAUCCUUACAUUCUCCACACCAAUGUGUUUAGCCAAGGCAAAGGAAACAGAGAGCAACAAUUCUAUUUAUGGUUCGCCCCAACUGCUGAUUUCCAUACCUAUUCCAUUCUUUGGAAUCCCCAACGCAUCAUGUAAGCAAGAAACUCUGUCAAAUCUUCAGCUUUUUGUCUUUUUAUCUUCAAUUUUAAUUUCUUU
rnacentral:lncRNA from 1 species